CGUGGGGAACCUGCCCCAUAGUCUGGGAUACCACUUGGAAACAGGUGCUAAUACCGGAUAAGAAAGCAGAUCGCAUGAUCAGCUUUUAAAAGGCGGCGUAAGCUGUCGCUAUGGGAUGGCCCCGCGGUGCAUUAGCUAGUUUGUAAGGUAAAGGCUUACCAAGGCGAUGAUGCAUAGCCGAGUUGAGAGACUGAUCGGCCACAUUGGGACUGAGACACGGCCCAAACUCCUACGGGAGGCAGCAGGC
rnacentral:rRNA from 1 species